GACAAAAUGUUUUUAACAGAUACAAGAAAUUAAGAGAGCCUUGCUCAAAGGAGCUAACUAUCUAGGAGAUUAACAGGUGCAAUUCUCCAGAAUGUUGCAUGCAAUUAAUCCAGGAAGCGGCUAUUAUUGCAGCCAAUCCCAUUCCCUGGUGUCCGGUUGUGGGUAUACGCCCACAAACAUUUAUUUGAAUGGUAGCCCUAAUUUAUUCCUACUAGGAUAUAAUGACGAUAGACCCUCUAACUCAAGUGGAUCAUGCGGGCAGCCCUCUUUUAUUCUCUGUGGCCUACAUCUGGUAACACUAGCGAAAGUCCAUAAAAUCACCUUUACGAGGUUACUUCUCACUGUGUGUCUCCAUAUUGCCUUCUUGCUUCCAUACCUCCAAUGUUGGUUGGAUCUCGCUUUAAGAAAGUGGACAAAGUGAACGUGGUUGGAGGAAAAAGAAAACCGUUUGGUACCGUGACAUAUUAAAUGAAACAUACAUUCUGUCCACAGUGCGCUUGACAUGUUACGUAGUAAUCUAGGUUGAAAAAUGUCUCCGCCAUCAAGCCUUCUC